rnacentral:rRNA from 1 species
GUGCCAGCAGCCGCGGUAAUACGGAGGGAGCUAGCGUUGUUCGGAAUUACUGGGCGUAAAGAGUACGUAGGCGGUGAUUCAAGUCAGAGGUGAAAGCCUGGAGCUCAACUCCAGAACUGCCUUUGAAACUAGAUCGCUAGAAUUGUGGAGAGGUUAGUGGAAUUCCGAGUGUAGAGGUGAAAUUCGUAGAUAUUCGGAAGAACACCAGUGGCGAAGGCGACUAACUGGACACAUAUUGACGCUGAGGUACGAAAGCGUGGGGAGCAAACAGGAUUAGAAACCCGCGUAGUCC